AUUAGAUUAGAUCCAAAGAUUCAAAUUUGUUCUCACAAUAUACCAGAUUUAGAAAAGCUAUGAUUGUCAUGAGUAAAUUGGUAAAGAUCAAAAUCGAAAAAUUUAACCUAGAAAUCAGAGAAUCAAGUCAAAAACAACAACAAAAAAAUGCUCAAAAAUUGCAUUAUACUGAUCUAAAAUAUCAGGAAAGUAGAUCGAAAAGAAGAAGAGUGCUUAAUUUGCAAAAAAAAAAAAAAUGGAAAAAAAAUAAAACUACAAUAGGAAAAAACUUACUUGACUUUGCGUGAGUGAAUGAAAGAAAAUGUUAAUGAAGUGAGAAACGAAAUAGUAGUAUUAGAUAAGCAUGAAAGAGAGGCCACGAACGAGAAUGAUAGAACUUUGGUAAAACAACCAGGACCAAAAAGGAAAAUAAAAAGAGGAAAAAAGAAGCGAAACCCAACUAACUAGAGCAGGCUUGCUGGUGGCCGUCGUACCGUCGUUGGCGAGCUUGCUCUACCAGCAACCCUUACGAAAACAACCACGCUUCUCUCUCUUCAUCCUAGUUCUCCGGCUGACGGAGAAGAAGAAAGAGGGUUCGCCUAUUAGUCUGUGUUUUCUCGUCGGUUUCUCUCUGUUUCAGUCAGUUCAGAGCACCGUCAAUUACUGUCUUCAGUUAGUCGAUGUUUUCUCGCCGCCUAGUUUUCUGGUUCGUGGUGUUGUUCAUCAGCUUAGCCGGUCUUGGGAGGAUCUACUCAGAUACCUGUUCUCAACCUCGGGCAGCCUCUCUCAAAGCUUCCCAAACGUCGCUGUCGAAAAAAUCUCGUUGGUAAAGGUAAAGCUUCAAGUUAGGGUUUCUUGUUUGGGUUAGGAAGUGCUAAAUUCGAGGUUGUUGGGUGUGUGCAUGUAAUUGUCUACCUUUUGCCGAAGCUAACAUGGUCGCCGCCAUCUUGCGAUUUCGGAAUCACCCCAAUCUUCACGGUAAAGGUAAAGAUUAGGUUAGCGUUUCUGUUUUCGGUAUUAGGUGCUGGCAAUUACUGACUUUCUACCUUUUCGGAAUUUGCUUGUUUCCCUGCUUUAGCUGCUUUGUAUUACGAUGUACUGGUGGGUAGUGUUACUUUGGUUUCUCUUCAUUUUUAUUGGAAGUUCCCUUAUUAACGUUGUUGAUUCAAAUGUUAGUUUAUGGUGUUGGAGUUUAUGUAUUAAUUCUGACAUAGGCGGCUAAGGCCAUGUGUAGGGUGAGCAACUGCACAGGGCCCCCAAAAUAUAAGGGGCCUAGUUCUAUUAAUUGUUCUCUUAAAGGGGAAAAAAACCUAACUCUAAUUACAAGCUAUUCAUUUCCAAUUUUAUAGAGUGUAAUGUUGGAUGCAAAUUUUAAAAUUUUAAAAUUUUUUUGUUUGGUGUUUCUUCUCCUCCUAUUCUCCAAAAAAGACCAUUAAUGACCCUCUCAUCUCUUCCUAUUCACCAAAAAAAUGUAAUUUUUAUAAUUUAAUUUAGCACAGGGCCCUCUAAUUUUAUGAGACAGCCCUGAAUUCUGAAUAUCUUGUAUGGGAUAGUUCAGUCUGGAUGAUUGAGGACAUUAACCACUGGGAAUUAUGGCAUAGGAGCAUAGUGGAUUUGCUCAUUGUUGUUGUCAACUUCUCCCGUGAAUGGAGUUUGGAAAUUAACCUGGGUAGUGUGUCAAGGAACAGAGUCUUAAGGGGGAAAGGGUGUGGGUAUUCACAUGUCGGGUUUGUUAGUUCAUCUCCGAGGUUAACUAAUGUUAAUUCUCACUUUCGAUUAGUGAUAAAAUUGAAUUUUAUCGCUUUUAAAACGUUCUAUCUCAGCGCUACUCCCCGUUUUAUGGGGGUUCAUAGUAUGCUUUCCGAGUUACUUUCAGUAACUCUUGUUGCUUCUGAACAAUUCACAAGUUAGUUGUCUCCAGCUGGAAUCAGCGCUACCUUUCCGUCUCUAUCCUUGUUCUUAAAGUUUCCCAGGUUCUCUUGUGUCAUCAAUGGAUAUCGCCCCAAUUGACACUCAAUGAUCUCCAAUAGAAGAAUUACUGAUGGCUUUAGCAAGUCUGAAUGUUGCAAACAGAGUCCACCCAUCAACCAAUGGUCCGAUGAAGGAGUGUAUUCUACGUACUUAAAGUCUUGUAAUUUGUUUUUAAUUUCGCCUCUAAGUAUUGUAAAGGUCACUAAUGACCGAGUUGUAUAUAAACUCUAUCUUUUAUUUAUGCAAAUUUUCCCAUUGUCAAAAAAAAAAAAAACAAGAAUGAUAGAAUAAUUUAAAUCCAGAAGUUUGUUAUUGCUCAAAUGAGUGCAAU